rnacentral:rRNA from 5 species
CCUACGGGAGGCAGCAGUAGGGAAUCUUCCGCAAUGGACGAAAGUCUGACGGAGCAACGCCGCGUGAGUGAUGAAGGCUUUCGGGUCGUAAAACUCUGUUGUUAGGGAAGAACAAGUGCUAGUUGAAUAAGCUGGCACCUUGACGGUACCUAACCAGAAAGCCACGGCUAACUACGUGCCAGCAGCCGCGGUAAU